UUAGGAAUUUUGCGCAAUGGGCGAAAGCCUGACGCAGCAACGCCGCGUGAGGGAAGACGGCUUUCGGGUUGUAAACCUCUUUUAGCAGGGACGAACACAAUGACGGUACCUGCAGAAAAAGCACCGGCUAACUACGUUCCAGCAGCCGCGGUAAUACGCAGGGUGCAAGCGUCAUUCGGAUUUAUUGGGCGUAAAGCGCAUGUAGGCGGUUCGGUAAGUCUGGUGUGAAAGCCCUCGACUCAAUCGAGGAAGUGCAUUGGAUACAGUCGAACUGGAGUACAGGAGGGGUGAGCGGAAUUCCAGGUGUAGAGGUGAAAUUCGUAGAUAUCUGGAGGAACAACAGCGGCGAAGGCGGCUCACUGGACUGUAACUGACGCUCAGAUGCGAUAGUGUGGGGAGCAAACAG
rnacentral:rRNA from 1 species